CCAACGGCCCUCUUUAGGGCCACCUUUCCGAUGUUAAGCCUUCAAG
rfam:Haemonchus contortus, ISE/inbred ISE, WGS project CAVP01000000 data, contig: Hcontortus_7115